rnacentral:rRNA from 1 species
ACGGGUGAGUAACGCGUGGGAAUCUACCCAUCUCUACGGAAUAACGCGUGGAAACGUGUGCUAAUACCGUAUACGUCCUUCGGGAGAAAGAUUUAUCGGAGAUGGAUGAGCCCGCGUUGGAUUAGCUAGUUGGUGGGGUAAAGGCCUACCAAGGCGACGAUCCAUAGCUGGUCUGAGAGGAUGAUCAGCCACACUGGGACUGAGACACGGCCCAGACUCCUACGGGAGGCAGCAGUGGGGAAUAUUGGACAAUGGGCGCAAGCCUGAUCCAGCCAUGCCGCGUGAGUGAUGAAGGCCCUAGGGUUGUAAAGCUCUUUCACCGGUGAAGAUAAUGACGGUAACCGGAGAAGAAGCCCCGGCUAACUUCGUGCCAGCAGCCGCGGUAAUACGAAGGGGGCUAGCGUUGUUCGGAUUUACUGGGCGUAAAGCGCACGUAGGCGGACUAUUAAGUCAGGGGUGAAAUCCCGGGGCUCAACCCCGGAACUGCCUUUGAUACUGGUAGUCUAGAGUUCGAGAGAGGUGAGUGGAAUUCCGAGUGUAGAGGUGAAAUUCGUAGA